CGUCCAUUUACGCACCUGCUUUGGGAGCAGGGGGUCGUGGGUUCGAAUCCCGUCGCCCCG
rnacentral:tRNA from 1 species